rnacentral:rRNA from 1 species
UACGGGGGGGGCAAGCGUUGUUCGGAAUUACUGGGCGUAAAGGGCGCGUAGGCGGGUGUUUAAGUCAGAGGUCAAAUCCCAGAGCUCAACUCUGGAACUGCCUUUGAUACUGGACACCUAGAGUACGGGAGAGGUGUGUGGAACUCCGAGUGUAGAGGUGAAAUUCGUAGAUAUUCGGAAGAACACCAGUGGCGAAGGCGACACACUGGCCCGUUACUGACGCCUGAGGCGCGAAAGCGUGGGGGAGCAAACAGG